rnacentral:rRNA from 1 species
AUACGUAGGUGGCAAGCGUUAUCCGGAAUUAUUGGGCGUAAAGAGGGAGCAGGCGGCAGCAAGGGUCUGUGGUGAAAGCCUGAAGCUUAACUUCAGUAAGCCAUAGAAACCAGGCAGCUAGAGUGCAGGAGAGGAUCGUGGAAUUACCUGUGUAGCGGUGAAAUGCGUAUAUAUAUGGAGGAACACCAGUGGGGAAGGCGACGAUCUGGCCUGCAACUGACGCUCAGGCCCGAAAGCGUGGGGAGCAAAUAGGAUUAGAUACCCUAGUAGUCCACGCCGUAAACGAUGAGUACUAAGUGUUGGAUGUCAAAGUUCAGUGCUGCAGUUAACGCAAUAAGUACUCCGCCUGAGUAGUACGUUCGCAAGAAUGAAACUCAAAUGAAUUGACGGGG